rnacentral:rRNA from 1 species
CAGCAGCCGCGGGAAUACGAAGGGGGCUAGCGUUGUUCGGAAUUACUGGGCGUAAAGCGCACGUAGGCGGAUAUUUAAGUCAGGGGUGAAAUCCCAGAGCUCAACUCUGGAACUGCCUUUGAUACUGGGUAUCUUGAGUAUGGAAGAGGUUAGUGGAAUUGCGAGUGUAGAGGUGAAAUUCGUAGAUAUUCGCAGGAACACCAGUGGCGAAGGCGGCUAACUGGUCCAUAACUGACGCUGAGGUGCGAAAGCGUGGGGAGCAAACAGGAUUAGAUACCCGUGUAGUCCCUGUCUCUUAUAC